GAUGAACGCUGGCGGCGUGCCUAAUACAUGCAAGUCGAGCGAACAGACGAGGAGCUUGCUCCUCUGACGUUAGCGGCGGACGGGUGAGUAACACGUGGAUAACCUACCUAUAAGACUGGGAUAACUUCGGGAAACCGGAGCUAAUACCGGAUAAUAUAUUGAACCGCAUGGUUCAAUAGUGAAAGACGGUUUUGCUGUCACUUAUAGAUGGAUCCGCGCCGCAUCAGCUAGUUGGUAAGGUAACGGCUUACCAAGGCAACGAUGCGUAGCCGACCUGAGAGGGUGAUCGGCCACACUGGAACUGAGACACGGUCCAGACUCCUACGGGAGGCAGCAGUAGGGAAUCUUCCGCAAUGGGCGAAAGCCUGACGGAGCAACGCCGCGUGAGUGACGAAGGUCUUCGGAUCGUAAAACUCUGUUAUUAGGGAAGAACAAAUGUGUAAGUAACUAUGCACGUCUUGACGGUACCUAAUCAGAAAGCCACGGCUAACUACGUG
rnacentral:rRNA from 1 species